rnacentral:misc_RNA from 1 species
AACGCACAUUGCGCCCUUUGGUAUUCCGAAGGGCAUGCCUGUUCGAGCGUCAUUUCACCACUCAAGCCUGGCUUGGUAUUGGGCGCCGCGGUCAAUCCGCGCGCCUCAAAGUCUCCGGCUGAGCUGUCCGUCUCUAAGCGUUGUGAUUUCAUUAAUCGCUUCGGAGUGCGGGCGGCCGCGGCCGUUAAAUCUUUCACAAGGUUGACCUCGGAUCAGGUAGGGAUACCCGCUGAACUUAA